rnacentral:rRNA from 1 species
GGCGAACGGGUGAGGAACACGUAAGAAUCUGCCCCUCGGUCGGGGACAACUCUUGGAAACGAGAGCUAAUACCCGAUACGCUGUGGAGUGAAAGAAUUUCGCCGAGGGAUGAUCUUGCGUCUGAUUAGCUAGUUGGUAUGGUAAUGGCAUACCAAGGCGACGAACAGUAGCUGGUCUGAGAGGAUGAACAGCCACAUUGGAACUGAGACACGGUCCAAACUCCUACGGGAGGCAGCAGUGGGGAAUUUUCCGCAAUGGACGAAAGUCUGACGGAGCGACGCUGCGUGAAGGAUGACGGCCUGCGGGUUGUAAACUUCUUUUCUCGAAGAAGAAGCUCUGACGGUAUUCGAGGAAUAAGCAUCGGCUAACUCCGUGCCAGCAGCCGCGGUAAUACGGAGGAUGCAAGUGUUAUUCGGAAUGAUUGGGCGUAAAGCGUCUGUAGGCUGUAUAGAAAGUCUUUUGUUAAAUGCCUCGGCUCAACCGAGAUCCAGCAAAGGAAACUUCUAUACUUGAGGGAAGUAGAGGUACAGGGAAUUCCCGGUGGAGCGGUGAAAUGCGUAGAUAUCGGGAGGAACACCAAUAUGGCGAAGGCACUGUACUGGGCUUUACCUGACGCUCAGAGACGAAAGCUAAAGGAGUGAUUAGGAUUAGAUACCCUAGUAAUUUUAGCCGUAAACGAUGGAAACUCACUGCCGAGCGAAAUACAACGAGCGGUGGUCAAGCUAACGCGUGAAGUUUCC